rnacentral:rRNA from 1 species
GAAGAAAGCGGGGGGCGUGCUUAACACAUGCAAGUCGAACGGUGAAGCGCCUUCCUUUUUGGUGGGUGUGGAUGAGUGGCGAACGGGUGAGUAACACGUGAGUAACCUGCCCCCUUCUUCUGGAUAACCGCAUGAAAGUGUGGCUAAUACGGGAUAUUCUGGGUCUGUCGCAUGAUGGGUCUGGGAAAGAUAUUGUUUCGGUGGGGGAUGGGCUCGCGGCCUAUCAGCUUGUUGGUGGGGUGAUGGCCUACCAAGGCGGUGACGGGUAGCCGGCCUGAGAGGGUGGACGGUCACACUGGGACUGAGACACGGCCCAGACUCCUACGGGAGGCAGCAGUGGGGAAUAUUGCACAAUGGGCGCAAGCCUGAUGCAGCGACGCCGCGUGAGGGAUGGAGGCCUUCGGGUUGUGAACCUCUUUCGCCAGUGAAGCAGGCCUGCCUCGUUUGUGGGUGGGUUGACGGUAGCUGGAUAAGAAGCGCCGGCUAACUACGUG